UAGUAACGGCGAGUGAAGAGGGAAAAGCUCAAAUUUUGAAUCUGGUGUCUUUGGCGCCCGAGUUGUAAUCUAGAGAAGUGUUUUCUGCCUCGGACCACACAUAAAUUCCCUGGAAUGGGGUGUCAUAGAGGGUGAGAAUCCCGUUUGUGGUGUGGACUACCUUGGCUCUGUGAUACACUCUCAACGAGUCGAGUUGUUUGGGAAUGCAGCUCAAAAUGGGUGGUAAAUUCCAUCUAAAGCUAAAUAUUGGCGAGAGACCGAUAGCGAACAAGUACCGUGAGGGAAAGAUGAAAAGCACUUUGGAAAGAGAGUGAAACAGUACGUGAAAUUGUUGAAAGGGAAGCGUUUGAAGUCAGUCACAUCGGUUGGAAUUCAGCCUGGCUUUGCCUGGUGUACUUUCUGGCAGAUGGGUCAGCGUCAAUUUUGACUGAGGGAAAAAGACUUGAGGAAUGUGGCUGUCUUUGGGCAGUGUUAUAGCCUCUUGUUGUAUGUCUCAGUUGGGAUUGAGGACCGCAGCACGCCUUAUGGCCGGGGUUCGCGCCCUCGGAACGUGCUUAGGA
rnacentral:rRNA from 1 species